UGGAAAUCAAACAAUUCCCUAUUAUUGGGGAGAUUUUAUUUGCUGGUAACCCUAAUUGUACACUAACGCCCUCCUGUCAAUGUCAUCCAAGUGCCAACAAAAGAUCCAUGUAGCACUAUACUUCGUUGAGCGAAAAGAACUACUUCAUUCAUUUCUUUCCAAUGACACAUUUUUCACACGGCCGUUCACUAUCAUGUGUACCAAAAGGUUGCUUCCUAAGGAUGUUAAAGUUGCUCAUGGAUCAAAUUAAUAUAAAUUCGGAAAAUAAUAUUAGGGCAGGAUUUCGUAAGACCGGUAUCAGUUCAUUAAAUCCUAAUGAAGUGUUGGCAAGAUUACUGGAAGGAGCGCAGUAUUAUGAAGAGGCUAAAGAAGCUGAAGAAGAGAAUGCGAUACGGAAGUGCCUGAAAUACCUGAUCGUUGUAAUGUGCGCACUCAUUCAUCUCCGUAUUUUUUAAGCGCCCGAACAAUCUGUCGGCCGGACUAAAAAGUCUGCUGAUAGAUAGAUAGAUUUCUCAAUAAAUAAAUAAUUUUGUACUACUUACGUACUUUGUAUUUGGUGUUGUAUUUCGAGUUUAAUAAAAUAUUCGAUGUGAAGAAAAAAAAA